AAACUGAAGGGAGGGAGAUCCUGCCCACCCCCCGUCUUUGCCAGGUGAGGAGGGGGUGGAAAGGCAAGCCUAGAGUCUGGAUUGCCUUCGCAGCCACGGCCCAGCCAUGCCCGCUCCGCUGCUCCCGCUGCUGCUGCGAACACUGCUGUCCUGCCUGCUGCUGCCCGCGGCCCGCCUGGCCCGCCAGCACCUCCUGCCCCUGCUGCGCCGCCUGGCUCGCCGCCUGGGCUCCCAGGACAUGCGAGAGGCUGUGCUGGGCUGUCUGUUGUUCGUCCUCAGCCAGAGACACCCGCCGGACGCUGGGGAGGCCUCCAGAGUGGCCUGCCAGGAGAGGAGGGAGAGGCUAGCCCCCCAGAAAUGAGGCCACGAGUCCUGGGAGCAGCUGUAUUCAUCGAAACACUUUCUUUUUGGAGUGACACAGUCCUGGCGUGGUCACU